CUGAGGAAGGGGAAAAGGAUACCAGAAAGGAAUGUUAGUCACAACUGGUACAAAUUGAAGAUAGGGCAGGAGUGGUUGGGGACUUUGGAGGUACUCAUAGGAGAGUAGUAGGGGAUGUUCAAGGGGCAGCUGACACAUCAUUAGAACCAGAGGUGCCUCCAUCUCUAUGGGCACAGAGGGCUGUGAGGCAUCAGGAGUAGUGGGAAACAUACUCUAGAAGAGUGAGGCAGGCAAGGGAACACAGCCCAGCUCACUAAUUGACCAGGUGGUACCAUGAGGCUUGUUAGAUCUGGGAGGAAUUUUGUGGGCACUCAGAUGACUCUAGGCUUUCUGACCCUGGAUCACUUGCAGACGUGGGAACCUGGCCUUACUGUUUGAGUCUGGACUUUGCUUGUUGUAUUGGACUGGGACCAGUAUUUGACCUUUUGGACUAUCUAGCAUUGCUCUGGGGACUGUUUGCACCAGUGCAAUGUACUUCCAGUUAUGUGAGUGGUUCAGGACACUCCUUCACCCAUUCACCCAUGUUCUCCACCCCCCCGCCUUUCAGUCACAUUUUAUCCUAUCUUCAUUUUUUAUCCUUUUUUGGUCCACACUAUAUCCUCCUUUCAAAAUAAAACAAGUAUUUCACAAGUGUUCAUCAUCAAAUGAAAUCAGUUUUAAAGAUCAGGAUAGAACAACAGGGCUCCUUUAUUAUUAGACUUUUUGCUAAAUGACUGUGACUUGGAUUCUACCUGGUUAAACCAGCUGUGCCAAGUUAUUACUUCUUUAUCAAUGGUGAAUGCUUGAUCUGAAGGCGCUCCAGGAUCUAUCCUUCCGACUCUGACUCUAUGAAGGGAUUGAUUGGAGAAUAUAAUCCAAUUGAUAAUAUCCAAGCUAGAUGCUACCUCCCCAUUCUUGUUGAAGGAUACCACAUCUCCUGCAGUGUUAUUAAAUGAGAUACUUCUCAGAAUGUGGUGGAGCUAAAUUGUAAACAGAAAAGACAAGUGUUUAGAAAAGGCUGCACUCUGAUACAGGGCUGAGCAAUCCUUUUUCCUCUGAGGCCAGAACCUACAGUGAGUGGAGUCAGGGACAAGCAUGUAGAGAGCCAACCCAUUUUCUCCCACAUAAAUGUUUUUCUCUCAUUCUUUCUGUCAGGCCUCUCUCUCCCUGUUACAUCCCUCAGGCAGAACAGUGGUGUGUGACCCCCUGCUCUGACGAAAAAUUUGCAGGCUGUCAAGGGUGUUUCACAGCCAAAGGAAUGCACAUGACAGAUAAUUAUUUAUUGUCAAGAAUAUCACAUUUGCUUCUACUCCUCUGGAUGCCUAUACAUAUAUAGCAGCUACACAGCUACACAGCUAUUUGCAGGUUUGCUGUAACAAUUGGAAUAGCAAGAAUGCUGCUCAUCUCCGUUGACUGUUUUCACUGCUUCCUGACUGUUAGUGAAAUGGUGUCUCAAUGGGCCACAAAACAUCUCCAAGCAAAUGCUUUAUCAUGUACUGGGGGGUUUCUGUUCAAACAAGGAGACAGCCAUCAUUGCUCUUUCCUCAGAGAAACAAAGACACAGCCAUCAUCGGUCCACAAAAUUAUAGAUUCAGUUCCUCAUCAAAUUCCAUAUGCCUGAACCCUGAGAGGAAAGAGCAAGUUGACAGUAUUUUGGAAACCCAUACAUUGUGAAGGAAUAAAAGUGCUCUUCCAUGUUGAGGAUGUUCAACCCGUUACCUGCCAAAACAGUUGAUUCUGAUUCUUUACUCUCCCUCCAUAUGCCAUUCCUAUGUGUCUGGGUCUGGAUGUGGACAUAGCAUGUAACGCAUGGGCGAUGGCAUAGACAGCACUGUGGAUACUGUAACUGUGCCCUGUCAUACUCAUUUCAAAAAAUGAUCCUGGAAGGUUCUCUAGCUUCUCUUCUCCUGUGCAAAUGUUCCCAUCCACCUGGUCUGCAGUGAUAUCUGGGAAUACACAAUCAAAAGCCUGUUGCCAGAAGUCCCUGAUAAAACCAUCCCCAUCUGUGUUGGAAGGGUUUCUGUGCUCAACAUACUGAUGAAAUCCUGGUGGGUCACUGAAGUGAAUUUCAAAGGCUAUAGCACCAUUGAAUAGUCCCGAAUCCCAGUUUCUUUGAUAGACAAAUGAAGUGAAUUCAAUCUCAGCUGUUGUUAUCCAAACUUUACUUUUUACAUUAUUUGUCAUAUCGUGUUCUGAUAGGUAUGGAAGCCAUUUAAAAAGUGCCAUAGAAUAAAAGUCUCCAUUGGCCACCACUACAUUAGCCUUGCUGCUCAUUAUUUUAUCAUGUAUUUUUGCCCCCUGUUGUAGCAUAUCUUUAAUUUCAGAGAUGAAACUAAAAUUGGGAAUUCUUUCUAUGAAGGCAAAACAGAUGCCAUUUUGAGAAAACAACUGAAGUACUGUAUGCACAAAUCUUUCCCCAUUGCCAUUGUCCAUUGCAGUGACCCCAAUCCAUGUCCACUUGAAAUGCAGAAGCAAAGAGAUUAUUCCCUCAUAUUGAAGGUCUUCCUGGGCUGUCAACUGGUAGAAGGAAAGCCCUGGGGUUUUAUCAUUCAUCACUGGAGCUGAGCCAUAAAUGAGCUAAAGAGGGAAUGGAGGAAGGGACGAGACAAAAUAU